rnacentral:rRNA from 1 species
AGUGAACGCUGGCGGUAGGCCUAACACAUGCAAGUCGAACGGCAGCACAGUAAGAGCUUGCUCUUACGGGUGGCGAGUGGCGGACGGGUGAGGAAUACAUCGGAAUCUACUUUUUCGUGGGGGAUAACGUAGGGAAACUUACGCUAAUACCGCAUACGACCUACGGGUGAAAGCAGGGGAUCUUCGGACCUUGCGCGAUUGAAUGAGCCGAUGUCGGAUUAGCUAGUUGGCGGGGUAAAGGCCCACCAAGGCGACGAUCCGUAGCUGGUCUGAGAGGAUGAUACGCCACACUGGAACUGAGACACGGUCCAGACUCCUACGGGAGGCAGCAGUGGGGAAUAUUGGACAAUGGGCGCAAGCCUGAUCCAGCCAUACCGCGUGGGUGAAGAAGGCCUUCGGGUUGUAAAGACCUUUUGUUGGGAAGAAAAGCAGCAGGUUAAUACCCCGCUGUUCUGACGGUACCCAAAGAAUAAGCACCGGCUAACUUCGUG